rnacentral:rRNA from 1 species
UACAUGUGGGGCAAGCGUUGUUCGGAAUUACUGGGCAUAAAGGGUGCGUAGGCGGCUUGUUAAGUCAGGGGUGAAAGUUUUCGGCCCAACCGGAAAAUUGUCUUUGAUACUGGCGAGCUGGAGUGCGUGAGGGGUGACCGGAACGAGUGGUGUAGCGGUGAAAUGCGUAGAUAUCACUCGGAAGGCCAACGGCGAAGGCAGGUCACUGGUGCGCAACUGACGCUGAGGCACGAAAGCGUGGGGAGCAAACAGG